rnacentral:rRNA from 1 species
UGGGGAAUUUUGGACAAUGGGCGCAAGCCUGAUCCAGCCAUGCCGCGUGCGGGAAGAAGGCCUUCGGGUUGUAAACCGCUUCUGUCAGGGAAGAAAUCUUCUGAGUUAAUACCUCGGGAGGAUGACGGUACCUGAAGAAUAAGCACCGGCUAACUACGUGCCAGCAGCCGCGGUAAUACGUAGGGUGCAAGCGUUAAUCGGAAUUACUGGGCGUAAAGCGUGCGCAGGCGGUUUUGUAAGACAGAGGUGAAAUCCCCGGGCUCAACCUGGGAACUGCCUAUGUGACUGCAAGGCUUGAGUGCGGCAGAGGGGGAUGGAAUUCCGCGUGUAGCAGUGAAAUGCGUAGAUAUGCGGAGGAACACCGAUGGCGAAGGCAAUCCCCUGGGCCUGCACUGACGCUCAUGCACGAAAGCGUGGGGAGCAAAACAGGAUUAGAUACCCUGGUAGUCCACGCCCUAAAACGAUGUCAACUGGUUGUUGGGAAGGUUCCUUCUCAGUAACGUAGCUAACGCGUGAAAGUUGACCGCCUGGGGGAGUACGGCCGCAAGGUUG